rnacentral:rRNA from 1 species
GAUGAACGCUAGCUAUAGGCUUAACACAUGCAAGUCGAGGGGAAACGGCAUUAUGUGCUUGCACAUUCUGGACGUCGACCGGCGCACGGGUGAGUAUCGCGUAUCCAACCUUCCCUCCACUCGGGGAUACCCCGUUGAAAGACGGCCUAAUACCCGAUGUUGUCCACAGAUGGCAUCUGACGUGGACCAAAGAUUCAUCGGUGGAGGAUGGGGAUGCGUCUGAUUAGCUUGUUGGUGCGGGUAACGGCCCACCAAGGCGACGAUCAGUAGGGGUUCUGAGAGGAAGGUCCCCCACAUUGGAACUGAGACACGGUCCAAACUCCUACGGGAGGCAGCAGUGAGGAAUAUUGGUCAAUGGACGUAAGUCUGAACCAGCCAAAGUAGCGUGCAGGAUUGACGGGCCCCUAUGGGUUGUAAAACUGCUUUUGG